rnacentral:rRNA from 1 species
AUACAGAGGGUGCAAGCGUUAAUCGGAAUUACUGGGCGUAAAGGGUGCGUAGGCGGCUUGAUAAGUCGGAUGUGAAAGCCCGGGCUUAACCUGGGAAUUGCAUUCGAUACUGUCAGGCUAGAGUAUGUCAGAGGUUGGCGGAAUUCCUGGUGUAGCGGUGAAAUGCGUAGAUAUCAGGAGGAACACCAGUGGCGAAGGCGGCUAACUGGGGCAAUACUGACGCUGAGGCACGAAAGCGUGGGGAGCAAACAGGAUUAGAAACCCUAGUAGUCC